rnacentral:rRNA from 1 species
UACGAAGGGUGCUAGCGUUGCUCGGAUUUACUGGGCGUAAAGCGCACGUAGGCGGGUCGUUAAGUCGGGGGUGAAAUCCCGGAGCUCAACUCCGGAACUGCCUUCGAUACUGGCGACCUCGAGUCCGGGAGAGGUGAGUGGAACUCCGAGUGUAGAGGUGAAAUUCGUAGAUAUUCGGAAGAACACCAGUGGCGAAGGCGGCUCACUGGCCCGGUACUGACGCUGAGGUGCGAAAGCGUGGGGAGCAAACAGG